CUUUCAGUCGUGAGGAAGGUAGUGUAGUUAAUAGCUGCAUUAUUUGACGUUAGCGACAGAAGAAGCACCGGCUAACUCCGUGCCAGCAGCCGCGGUAAUACGGAGGGUGCGAGCGUUAAUCGGAAUUACUGGGCGUAAAGCGCAUGCAGGUGGUUGUUAAGUCAGAUGUGAAAGACCCGGGGCGUCAACCUCGGAAUUGCAUUUGAAACUGGCAGACUAGAGUACUGUAGAGGGGGUAGAAUUUCAGGUGUAGCGGUGAAAUGCGUAGAGAUCUGAAGGAAUACCGGUGGCGAAGGCGGCCCCCUCGGACAGAUACUGACACUCAGAUGCGAAAGCGUGGGGAGCAAACAGGAUUAGAUACCCUGGUAG
rnacentral:rRNA from 1 species